AGCUCAUGCAAAGCUUAGAGCUUCUUAAGAGCAUUUCAGACACCAGUGAACACAGUUCAACAUGAUGGUCUAUAGGGCAGGACUGCUGCUGGUAAUUCUCUGCUGGGCAGGUGCUCAUGCUCAGACUCUGACAGAAUCUGAACCCGUGGUUAAAAGGCCUGGAGAAUCCCACACACUGACCUGUACAGCAACUGGAUUAACCAUCAGUAGCAACUACAUGGCCUGGAUCAGACAGGCUCCUGGAAAAGGCCUGGAGUGGAUCGCCUGGCACGACAGCUAUAGUGGUAGCAGCAGGUUCUACUCUCAGUCCGUCCAGGGACGCUUCACCAUCUCCAGAGACGACAGCAGGAAGCUGCUGAAACUGCAGAUGAACAGUCUGACAGCUGCAGAUUCUGCAGUUUAUUACUGUGCCAGAGACACAGUGACACAAGAGACACAGACGCUGUACAAAAACCUGCCCCAGUCAUUUUUACUGGACUCAGAAACCUGCACUGCCUCAUGUGCUGAUAUUUAA